rnacentral:rRNA from 1 species
UCCAGCAGUCCAAAAUAUUAGUCAAUGCUCGAAAGAGUGAACUAGCUAACUGAAAUCAUUAAAUAAUUGAUAACAUAAGGGAAAAUAAUGAUAAUACCUUAUUAUAAGUGUCGUCCAAAACUGGUGCCAGAAGACUCGGUAAGGCCAGAGACACAAACGUUAAUCGUCUUAAUCAGGCGUAAAGGGUUUGUAGGCGGCUUUAAAAUUAAUUAAUUUUUAAUAAAUUAAAAAUAAAAGCUAGAAUCAAAUAGAGGAUAUAUUAAAUAAUGCUUAGAGUAGGUCUGAUAUCCUUAAAUACUAAGUAGAAUAUUAAAGGCGAAAGCUUUUUUCCAAUAAUGAUUGACGCUCAGAAACGAAGGUGAGGAUAGGAAAUAGGAUUAGAUACCCAAAAUACCCCUCUCUGUCAACGAUGAAUGGUAGUUAUUAGUAAAAAUUAUUAAUAACAAUGUUAACACGAUAACCAUUCCGCCUUGUGAGUACAAUUGCAAAAUUGAAAACAAAAAAAUUAGUCGGUUUCGGAGCAAACGAAGUGAAGCAUGUUAUUUAAUUCAAUAAUCCGCAA